UCGUCUCCUCGAGGCAGGCUUCUCGGACUCAUCGCUUCCCGGGAGGUCUUCCUGACGGGACUUCGUCACUGGCGACCCACGCGUCCCGUAUCAGUGGAACCCCGUGGGCCACUGGUACGACAACAUGCAUUUGAACAACUCAUCCAAUGUAUAUGAUAAAUAGUAUCUACAGCAGUAUCAGAUUGUACUACCCUAGGAUCACGGCACCAUGAUAUUUAUUAUCUUUAUAUAAAAAUUAUGUGUUGGACAAAUUACCUGGCAUGGAUAUAAUCCAUCGGGGUUAUAAGAAAAGUAAUGUGUGGUAUAACAAUAAUAUCAUCAACGUUAUCCAGAAGUAACUUAUGCAAUUAAUAAGCUUGUACUUCCACAAUUGGAAAUUGAUUUUUUUAACGAAAAGAUGCUUGUCAAGCAUGCACACAGAUUCUUAUUUUAGGUUAAAUCAUGAUUGAAUAUAGGCCUAUAGGGUCAGACCAGUUGCACUUGACCCCAAUGGCAGGCUUGUGGCUGCUGCUUGCUCCUGUCGAAAGUUGAAUGGUACUACCUCUGAUCCAUAAUAAGUUUGAUUUAGUGCAAAGUUGUACUAGGCUUUGUUCAAAACCGAGACUUAUUUUGGAUCGGAGGGAGUACAUGCUAUAUGACUGUGAGAACUAGUCAUGUGUAGAUAUGGGUCAUUUGCGUCCGAUCGACAAUGCAACGAGACGACCAGUAACUGGCGCAACUCUUAGUCCCACAUCAUUCUUGAACAAAGAAAGCUACAUCCGGCAUAUAUAGUUCGCCGCUGGCAUGCUGUGUGUUGCGCUAUUGGAUCUUAAGUGUGCACUUUGUUUUUGUCCUUGGAAGCGAGUUGCUUUUUACCACAUUCGUGUCGUGACCCUAGCACUUAUAUGAUACGGAUAGCGAUCCAAGCGUCACACUCAUGAAUUGCGAUUCAGAGUACAAUAUGUUGGAUUUCUGUUGUUACACGCGGGGAUUGGAGGGGGCGGGGGUGGGGGGUGGGGGGGGCAGGACAAUGGUUAUUGAGUAGUGUAGUGGUAGAUUUGUGGCUCUACAAUUUUAAAUGAUUGCAUAAAUAUUCUUUUUCGCAAAAAAUUACAAUGUUCUUCUAUGUACAAAACCUGGAGGAGAGGCGAUGAGUCCGUUGACAAACUUAAGUUAUUUCAGUAACUAUAUACUUGAAGUGCGAGUUAUUAACUACUCCAUCCGUCUCGAAACAUAAGGCGCGUAUCGUUCUGCCUGUCAAGUGUGAGUUGCAUGCGAACAAAAAAAUCGCACCCACCACCCAGCUGUUGCAUACGUGAGAAAAGCUAGGCAGUUUCCUUCCGUUGCAUGCUAAUUGGAUCUCUUCUCCUAAUUGCACGGGCGCUAGCAGAUAUGGUGGGCGUGGGCGUUCCUCCAGUUGCAUGCAUUCAUGAGUGAAGUGAGCCUUGCGGCAGUUGCGAUGCGGAUAGCUAUACGUGCGUCCAACAGUUCGGUGGCUGCGUUAAUAUUCAUGCUGAAGUUUAUACGCCUAAAUAAACGGAGGGAGUAGCUAAUACUUGUCUAGCAGACCGAUAAGAUUGGUGCUUCUUUUCAUUGUGUUCCUUUUGGUGCUUUCUUUUCUUUAGUUAUGUUCUGGAUAUCAUAGGGCACAGGUUCCUCAGAAAAUCUUAUGUUGCUACUAAAAGGUGCCAUGCUGGUGCAUAAGUGAAACAUUGUUUUGUAGGUAGACAUGCUUUCAUCCAAAGAAAACACAUUUCUCAAGUGGACAUAUUCUUUCAUUGUUGUUGGUGAUGAUAGUUGUUGAACCAUGGUCACAUCUAACUUCAAAAUAUGAUGCAAGUCCAAUCCCCCAGUAGUCAAUAGAUGGUUGCUCCAUGUCAUAGUUUACUGACAGAAAUAUUGGAUUGAGUCAUCUCUUCCAUGAGUGCGCAUCGUUUUGAGGUGUUGACACCUAAAGUUCUCACCUACCAGCUGUAGUCUCAUUUGUGAUGCCAAUUUGCUGGUCUCAUGUUUUGUAUCUCUUAUGGCUGCUAUUGCAGCUUCCUUUUGAUUCUUCAAGGUGAUGUUACAUAGUCAAAGUUUGUGAUGCUGACAUGCAAUAUUUCACCAUUCUUUCUGAUUAUUGGUCAUUGUGGUGUGGGCAGUACUAUCAGUGACAGCACCAUCAAUUGCGGUCGGACAUGCUUGCUUUUAUUUGUAUGAGCGAGCCAAUUUCAGUGAUGCCUUGUUUUGCACUUGCAAGUUUUUUUUAUUGCAACACUGGCUUGACCAGCUAUUAUUCUGGCACUGUUUAUGUCAAUCUUGUAUAGGGGUGAUUCCUGCCUGGUGUUUUCUUUGUCUAGCUAGAAAAUUUGUUGCAAAUAGUUGGCCUUUAGUUUAGGAAGUUGCUAGGUUUUUGUGAAUCUAUAUUUCUGUGAGGCUUAUUUCUUUGAUGACCGGAGAUGUUUUGAACUAUGGUAAAAAUAUUGUUGCCGGUGUUACAGCUGAGGCCAACAAUUUUGCUUGCUAGUUUUGUUCUUUCGUUCCAAUAGACUGGAGAUGUUUCCUGACGUACUUGUAUCUGCAUAUGUUCCAUCUCCCUGUCGUACUCCUCUCUGGAGUUGGUUUCAUGAUUCCUGUUUCGUCGAUUGUUAAAGUUAGGCAGGGACAGGAGAACCACCAUACAUACUUUUUGCAGAGACUGCAAUGUCAGCUCACUACAAUGUGAUUUGAGGAAUACCAACGGGGGGGCGUUCUGUCAUUACCAACUGGUGGAGAGUUACUAUCAAUUUGAUUUGUCAAAUCAUGGUGGCCAAGCCUGCAACCUUCAAGACAUACAGGCACGCCGUCAGUCAUGGGCCAAACUGAUUGUCAAGAAAUUAUUCACCAUCUUGUUGUGCGUAUCCUCGUCAAUGCAGAGGCCGAAGAGCAAGGACAAAUAUGGACAAUCCCUUUCAAGGACGCGCAAACAAAACACAAAUCCAUCGACUAACAUAUGCCAUGUCAAAAUAAAUAAAGAGUGGGGCAAUGAAGAAAUGCUGCAUGCACUACAUGCAGAAGAAAGAUUGAGGCGAGACUGAGGGUUAAAGUAAAAGGUCCCAUAGAAAGUAUUCUUGCUCCAACUCAGGAAGAUGAUGCAUUUGCUUCCUCUCUCGCGAUGAUUUUAGGAUGCUAGGUUUCUUCUUUCCCUCAAACGUACUCCGGCCUACCUCGACCCAUAAGGUUUUUGGAUGUCCCCUUUUCUUCCAAUCACUGAUAAAGUAGAGAAUAGUUUAGUGGGAUGACACAAGAAAAUGUUGUCCCUUGGGGGCAUGUUAUAAUGGUCCGUUCGUCCAUUAAGGCUAUGCCGACAUGUGUGAUGGGCGCAAUCUUGCUAUUCCUAUACCCAUUGGGUUUUAAGUGUCUUCGAACCACAAUUAAUGUAUGCCUUCUCCUUAAGCAUCUUGCUAAGGUGCAUUCC